CCUACGGGUGGCAGCAGUGAGGAAUAUUGGUCAAUGGGCGCGAGCCUGAACCAGCAAAGUAGCGUGAAGGAUGACUGCCCUACGGGUUGUCAACUUCUUUUAUAAAGGAAUAAAGUGAGGCACGUGUGCCUUUUUGUAUGUACUUUAUGAAUAAGGAUCGGCUAACUCCGUGCCAGCAGCCGCGGUAAUACGGAGGCUCCGAGCGUUAUCCGGAUUUAUUGGGUUUAAAGGGAGCGUAGAUGGGUUGUUAAGUCAGAUGUGAAAGUUCGCGGCUCAACCGUAAAAUUGCAAUUGAUACUGGCAGUCUUGAGUACAGGUGAGGUAGGCGGAAUUCGUGGUGUAGCGGUGAAAUGCGUAGAUAUCACGAAGAACACCGAUUGCGAAGGCAGCUUACUAAACUGCCACUGACAUUGAUGCUCGAAAGUGUGGGUAUCAAACAGGAUUAGAUACCCGAGUAGUC
rnacentral:rRNA from 1 species